UCGGAUGUGGUGCAUGGCGCACACCCGCUCACGCUGCUUGGGGGAAAGUGUGAAUUGUGCGGGAGGGCUGGGUUCGAUUCCUAGCGUCCGAA